rnacentral:tRNA from 1 species
GGAGGCAUAGCUCAGCUGGUUAGAGCGCAUGCUUGACAUGCAUGAGGUCAUUGGUUCGAUUCCAACUGUCUCCACCA